rnacentral:rRNA from 1 species
GGUUGACCUCGAAUCA